GACAGAGGAUGCAAGCGUUAUCCGGAAUGAUUGGGCGUAAAGCGUCUGUAGGUGGCUUUUUAAGUCUGCCGUCAAAUCCCAGGGCUUAACCCUGGACAGGCGGUAGAAACUACCAAGCUGGAGUACGGUAGGGGCAGAGGGAAUUUCCGGUGGAGCGGUGAAAUGCGUAGAGAUCAGGAAGAACACCGGUGGCGAAGGCGCUCUGCUAGGCCGCAACUGACACUGAGGGACGAAAGCUAGGGGAGCGAAUGGG
rnacentral:rRNA from 1 species